rnacentral:rRNA from 1 species
GUCUUUUUGAUAUUUAAUAAAAAGUCUAAUCUGCUCUAUGAAUAAAUUUUAAAUGGCCGCAGUAUUUUAACUGUGCAAAGGUAGCAUAAUCAUUAGUUUUUUAAUUGAGGACUUGUAUGAAUGAUUGGACGAAAUAUAAGCUGUCUCAUUUUAAUUUUUUUUUAGAAUUUUAUUUUUUAGUUAAAAAGCUAAAAUGGAUUUAAAAGACGAGAAGACCCUAUAGAUCUUUAUAUUAGUUAUAUUUUAAUUUUUUAGAAUGAUUAUUUUAGAAUAUAUUAUAAUAUUUUGUUGGGGUGACAUUAGAAUUUAAAUAACUUCUAAUUAUUAUGAAACAAAAAUUAUUGAUUAUUUUUUUUUGAUCCUUUAUUAUUGAUAAAAAAAUUAAGUUACCUUAGGGAUAACAGCGUAAUUAUUUUGGAGAGUUCUUAUCGAUAAAAUAGAUUGCGACCUCGAUGUUGGAUUAAGAUUAAUUCAGGGUGUAGCAUUUCAGAAUAUUAAGUCUGUUCGACUUUUAAAUUCUU